GACGAACCACACAAACGUUAUUCGGAAUUACUGGGCUUAAAGGGUGCGUAGGCGGCGCGGAAAGUUGGAUGUGAAAUCCCUCGGCUCAACCGAGGAACUGCGCUCAAUACUACCGUGCUCGAGGGAGACAGAGGUGAGCGGAACUUAGGGUGGAGCGGUGAAAUGCGUUGAUAUCCUAAGGAACACCCGUGGCGAAAGCGGCUCACUGGGUCUCUUCUGACGCUGAGGCACGAAAGCUAGGGUAGCGAACGGG
rnacentral:rRNA from 1 species